rnacentral:rRNA from 1 species
AGAGUUCGAUCAUGGCUCAGAUUGAACGCUGGUGGCAUGCUUAACACAUGCAAGUCGGACGGCAGCAUGGCUGGUAGUAAUACUAGCUGAUGGCGAGUGGCGGACGGGUGAGUAAUACAUAGGAAUCUGCCUUAUGGAGGGGGAUAGCUCAGGGAAACUUGGGGUAAUACCGCGUAAGACCGGGAGGUGAAAGGGGGCUGUAAAAGGCUUUCGCCAUAAGAUGAGCCUAUGUUGGAUUAGCUAGUAGGUGAGGUAAGAGCUCGACCUAGGCAACGAUCCAUAGCUGUUCUGAGAGGAAGGACAGCCACACUGGGACUGAGACACGGCCCAGACUCCUACGGGAGGCAGCAGUGGGGAAUAUUGGACAAUGGGGGCAACCCUGAUCCAGCGAUGCCACGUGUGCGAAGAAGGCCUUCGGGUUGUAAAGCACUUUAGUGAGGGAGGAAAGGAUAGAGGUUAAUACCCUAUAUUAUGACAGUACCUCAAG